GCCCAGCUAGCUCAGUCGGUAUAGCAUGGGACUCUUAAUCCCAGGAUCGUGGGUUCAGGCCCCACGUUGGACG